rnacentral:rRNA from 1 species
AGAGUUUGAUCCUGGCUCAAAACGAACGCUGGCGGCAUGCUUAACACGUGCAAGUCGAACGAGACCUUCGGGUCUAGUGGCGCACGGGUGCGUAUAGCGUGGGAAUCUGCCCUUAGGUACGGAAUAACUCAGAGAAAUUUGUGCUAAUACCGUAUGAUGUCAAAAGACCAAAGAUUUAUCGCCUAAGGAUGAGCCCGCGUAAGAUUAGCUUGUUGGUGAGGUAAAAGCUCACCAAGGGGGACGAUCUUUAGCUGGUCUGAGAGGAUGAUCAGCCACACUGGGACUGAGACACGGCCCAGACUCCUACGGGAGGCAGCACUGGGGAAUAUUGGACAAUGGGCGAAAGCCUGAUCCAACAAUGCCCCGUGAGUGAUGAAGGCCUUAAGGUUGUAAAGCUCUUUUACCAAGGAUGAUAAUGACAGUACCUGGAGAAUAACCUCCGGCUAACUCCGUGCCAGCAGCCGCGGUAAUACGGAGGGAGCUAGCCUUGCUCGGAAUUACUGGGCGUAAAGAGUACUUAGGCGGUGAUUCAAGUUAGAGGUGAAACCCUGGAGCUCAACUCCGGAACUGCCUUUGAAACUCGAUCGCUUUGAUUGUGCACAGGUUAGUGGAAUUCCGAGUGUAUAGAUGAGAUUCGUAGAUAUUCUGAAGAACACCAAUGGCUAAUGUGACUAACUGGACACAUAUUGACGCUGAGGUACUAAAGCUUGGUGGAGCAAACAGGAUUAGAUACGCUGGUAGUCCACGCCAUAAACGAUGAUAACUACUGUGUCGGGGUCUAUAUCCUGAGUGGCGCAGCUAACGCAUUAAGUUAUCCACCUGGUGAGUACGGUCGCAAGAUUAAAACUCACAGCAGUUGAACGGGGGCCUGCGCAAGCGGGGCAGCAUGUGG